rnacentral:rRNA from 1 species
CUUGUAACCAUAAGAGGUCCAGCCUGCCCAGUGAUUUUAUUCAACGGCCGCGGUACUCUAACCGUGCGAAGGUAGCGUAAUCACUUGUCUCUUAAAUAGAGACUAGUAUGAAAGGCAUCACGAGAACUUAACUGUCUCCUUUCUCCAAUCAGUGAACCUAAUCUCCCCAUGAAAAAGCGGGGAUACCACUAUAAGACGAGAAGACCCUGCGGAGCUUAAAACAACAUAACACUUGCCACUAUCACUAAAUACUCCAGCGUUCACCCACCCCAACGGCAUCCUGAUUAUACGUUUUUGGUUGGGGUGACCGCGGAGAAAAACUUAACCUCCGCAAUGAAAGGGCCUACCGCCCUAAACAACAAGUUACAACUUUAAGUAUCAAAAAUUUGACAUUCAUUGACCCAAUAAAUUGAUUAACGAAC